CCCAAGUACACACCACCUACCAUGGACCACUUGUCAAUAAGUUAAUCAUCUUGUUAUAAAGUGGAGAAGAGCUGCUCUGCGCUUUAAACAGAAAAUGUAUGACGUGUCUGGGAGCAGAUCCAGAGAAAGCUGAUUGAGCAGAGGAAGACUGUGGAGAUGAUGGGGUCACCAUGCAGUCUGAGGAAAGGCCUGAGAAUGAGGGAGUGGAGGAUGAGGAGGAGAGUGAGCCGCCUCCCUGAAAUUUGUCCAGAAAGUCUCCACUGGAGGAGCUUUUUGCUGAGGAAGAGGCACAUAAUGUAAUGUCACAGCUCCAUGUCCAUGAAGAAACAAGUGGAGAGAGGGCUGCACAUGUACCAGAACAUUCUACCAGCCGUUCUGUCUGAGGACCUGCUGCUGGUGCUGGAACCAACACAAGACUUAUCCU